AUUGAACGCUGGCGGCAUGCCUUACACAUGCAAGUCGGACGGUAACGGGCCUUCGGGUGCCGACGAGUGGCGAACGGGUGAGUAAUGUAUCGGAACGUACCUUUCAGUGGGGGAUAACGUAGCGAAAGUUACGCUAAUACCGCAUAUUCUGGGAGCAGGAAAGUAGGGGAUCGCAAGACCUUGCGCUGAUUGAGCGGCGGAUAUCAGAUUAGCUAGUUGGUGAGGUAAAGGCUCACCAAGGCGCCGAUCUGUAGCGGGUCUGAGAGGAUGAUGCGCCACACUGGAACUGAGACACGGUCCAGACUCCGACGGGAGGCAGCAGUGGGGAAUUUUGGACAAUGGGGGCAACCCUGAUCCAGCCAUGCCGCGUGAGUGAAGAAGGCCUUCGGGUUGUAAAGCUCUUUCGGCCGGGAAGAAAUCGUAUCAGCUAAUACCUGGUGCGGAUGACGGUACCGGCAUAAGAAGCACCGGCUAACUACGUGCCAGCCGCCGCCGUAAUAC
rnacentral:rRNA from 1 species